rnacentral:rRNA from 1 species
GGAUUAGCUAGUGGUGGGGUAACGGCCUACCAAGGCGACGAUCCAUAGCCGGCCUGAGAGGGUGAACGACCACAUUGGGACUGAGACACGGCCCAGACUCCUACGGGAGGCAGCAUG